ensembl:lncRNA
UUGGUUCGAUCCGUGUGAAUCUGCUGCAUGUUAAAGAUGCAGAACAGAACGAGACGAGCGCAGCAGACGCACGUGAGAUUUAAGUGAACAUGAAAUCAACACAAAAUCUUCUUGCUUUCUUAAAACGCGUUUCUGCAUAAUUCAUCAGUGCACAUUACUCCAAGGAAAAUGAUGCAGAAGAAUCACCCGUCUCUUAUUUUUCAUCCGCCUGUCACAUAGAAACACCAUCAAAUCAAAUCCAUGCAAAUACAUCAGAUUAUUGUGUGUUUCACUCUAAAAUCAAAAUAAAUGUAUAUAUAUAAUAUUGUAUGUGUGCAUACAUAUACAUGCAUACAUACCUACAUGAAUAAAAUCUUUUCAGUGUAGUGAAUCAAUUUGAUAAUUUCAUUAAAAAACUACAAAUGUCUCGAGGAUGCCUGCUGGCUUUAAUUAAAAGGCGAGGCGGUGUUUUACAGAUGACGGACAGCUGAUGCAGCCAAUGAAAGACGCGCCGCCCAUUCGACGGCCAAUGACUGACCCGCGGGGGCGGGGCUAACGCGGCCGUUUUAUCCGCACAGUCUCUCGCCGAGCAGAAGGAUAUUCCCAAAAAUGACAUCCAGCAGCUUUCCAGAGGAAACCCGCGGCGUUUAGAGAAGUUUCCCUCCUCACAUUAUCACGGAUCACAGCGCGUUCUUCAGAGAUGUAGUCGGUAGACGCGUGAAAUGUGUAUUUAAUACAGAAGGACAGUGUUUCCACACAACCGUUAUUGACGCGCGUCCCCGAUCGCAAACUCCUGAUCCUUCAGCUCCGAACCGGACAUGUGUGACUUAAUGCCAGCGGCUCAACCGGCCGAGAAAAUCGGCAAAAUGAAGAAAUUAAGAAGAACUUUGUCGGAGAGCUUCAGUCGGAUCGCCUUCAAGAAAGAAGACAGCGGCUUUGACGAGGUGAGAGACACCGCAGUCGUUUGACUUUCAUGAUCCUCGAAUGUUGGAGGAUGCAGUGAAUAUAACUCGGUGGUGUCCGUCCCUGCAGCAGUGCAUGCUGGGAUGUGUGUGUCUCUGGGGUUGAAGUGUCAGCUGUGAUCAUGGCAGAGAUGCUUCAUGGUUCUCCGCUACGUCUUUGUGCCGAAGCAGGAAGACCAGAUAUCAUUUUAAUGCUCUUGAUGUGAAUUAAUUCACGUUACACUCUUACAGCCGUUACUCAGGGAUUAUUGAGAAUUCUUCCAGUAUUCCGCAGUAUUACUGUAAAAACAUUUGAAAUAUCGUUAUGCAAGUUUUCUGUGUUCUGAGAAGACAAACUUUAAAACCAGAUUGCUCAAAAAUAUAAUCAAAAGCAAAAUCAUUAUAUAUUCAGUCAGUCAUCGAAGCUUUGAUUUAGUGCACUACGAUAAACAUUUAAAAUAUAUAUUUAAAAUUAAAUAUAAUAAUAUUAAAUUUAUAUAAUAAAUUUAUAUAAUAUACAAUUUAUGUUUAAAAU